rnacentral:lncRNA from 1 species
AGUAGAAGUUUGUAACCGUCUAUGGCCUUAUAAAGGCUAGGUUAUGGUAACUUGCUAAUGAAGUCGACCAAACUUGGUACCUAUCUCCCACGCUAAACUCUCGAACAACUAGCAACGAAACUAGUUUUUUAUGUUAAAUUGAGCAUCAAGGUCUCGACCCAGGUACAACUGAGAUGGUGUUUUCCCAUUAGCUAGUGGCGUUGCUGCAUAACGGAGAAGAAUAACGAUUUCAGGCCAUUUCGAUUUUGCAUCCACCAGCACUAAAAAGUAAUGGUUUUGAAAAAUACCUGCAUAAUCUGUGUGGACUUUUUGAAAAUUUUCAUCGUGCUCCUCCCAACUAUGAAUUUGAACCCUUGGUGGACUAUUUCUUAUUUUAGCGCAGCUGGAACGUGACCGCACAAUUUAGCUAAAAUUUAAUUUUUCCAGCUAAAUAGAAAUUCUUUAGUACACUGCAAUAACUUGGCAAUAAUUUGUUAUAUUUUUCAAAUCAUGUAAGCCAACACUGAUGGUACAUUUGUUAUACAAUUAAGUUAUGAUUUCCCUCUUCUAUCAUCAAAUGAAUUGUUAUUAUUUUGUUAAGAAUAAUUAAAAAUAUUCCACAAUACGAUUUAA